GAAGUUUUGGGAGGUGAGGGGUGUGUGUUCACUGUUUUGAUUGUGGUGAUGACUUCACAGGUGUAUACAUAUGUCAAAACUUACCAAAUUGCACACUUUAAACAUGUACAAAUGUAUGUCAAUAAAGCUGUUUUUAAAACAGAGGCUGCCACGAGCAUAGAGGCAAAACAGUCGAUGCCUCCCAGUUUCAAGCUGGUUUGGUCAUCACGGGAGAGCAUUGCUGUCCUCAUCUCACCCACACAGAACCUGGAACCCAAAGGGGUCACGUGCUAGUCUGGGCAGAGCCCAUGGCCAGAUUCUUUCUUCUCUGGAUCCAGCGCUUUCUUUGCAAAGCACUGAGUGUGCUUCCAGGAGCCUACCAGAACCUAUGAGCGUGCCCUGAGCUGAAGGGACAGGGUGUCCCUGCCACCUGAAGGGCCCUCCACAGCAUUUGGAGUCAGAGCUGGCGUGGGAUCCUGGAAAAGCUGAAUGAACGCAGGCUUUGUGUGUGGACGGACCUGGGUACGCGUCCUGGCACCAGCGGGGUCUCAGUGACCACCCCUGUGAAAUGGGGGUAACAACGGUCCCUGCCCCAUGUGACCCUGCCAUGUAAGGUUCAGUCAACCCCACUCGCCCUCCCCUUGCUUGUCCUUCUAGUUUAUGUUCUCCUUAGACUCUGCAAACCAGAGAAGGGACGAGCUGAGGCAGGAGGCCUUGAGCCUUGAGAGUGGAUGGGAGAAGGAGAAUGUGGAGAAAUGGGGCAGCUGUGUUUGCUGAGCACCUCCUGUAGCCCAGUGCUGGACGGAGCACUUUACACGCUCUAUCCCCUUUAAUCCCCGCAACAGCCCCGUGAAGUAUUCACUGUCCUCCCAGCUUCCCUGAGAAGAACAUUGAGGCCUCCCAAGAGCAAGCCACUCAUCCAAGGUCACAGAAAGUAGACAGGGGCAAAGAUAGGCCUUGAACCCAGGCAGCCUGAGUCCCAAGUCACUGUCUUGUGGCUGAAAUUCCCCACCAGUUUUCUGGGGUCUUUGCAUUUCUGAGUCCCGUCCCCACUAGUUGGGAUGCUUUCCCCAGCAGGGAUCCAAGUUCAGAUUCUCUCUGCAACUCCUUGUUACUAAAGCCACCCUAUGAUCCCUCACAUGUGCAGAGCGCUCUACAGUUUACAAAGAACUCUUUCAUUACUACUUACGCCAUGGGUGGUUCCGAAUCCCUUGAAACAAGAGAGGACUGAUGUUAUCCCCGUGUCUACCACGAAGAUGGUAUGGAUCCCUUCCUAGGGAGAAAUGGACAUUGAUGCACACUGGACCAUUUUAUCUGCACAACAAGUAAACAUUAUUAGGCCCAGUUUAUAGAUGUUAAAACUGAGGCCUGGAAGAAUUAAACAGCUUGCCUAAGUUCAUGAA
rnacentral:lncRNA from 1 species